CAAUUGAAGACGGAAACUGACCAAAAAA
rnacentral:sRNA from 1 species